rnacentral:rRNA from 1 species
AUGAGGAUAUUGGCGUGGAACUGCAACGACCAUGGAAACGCCCCAGCAGUACGUGCGUUGGUGGAUGUCCAGCGCAGUUGGGCUCCUGAUGUGAUGUUGUUAUCAGAAACUCAUUUAGACAGCUAUCCGGCAGAGUGUUUCAGGAAAAGAUUGAAGAUGGACCAAAAGCUUGUGUGCCCUAGUGGUGGGAGAAAAGGUGGACUGUUGAUGUUUUGGAAGAAGGAGAUCCAUAUACAGAGGCUAGAUCUUGAUCCUAUGUCUAUAGAUGUUCAAGUCAAUGAUGGGACCAAUCAAACUUGGAGAUUAACCAGGAUGUAUGGUGAAUUCUGGUGGGAAGAUAAAUAUAAGACGUCGGAUGAUAUGUCUCCAACGUAUCUAUAA